rnacentral:lncRNA from 1 species
CCCGCACUUCCGGACCCCAGACUCUUCCUACGGCGACUGACACCUCAGACACGCGUUGUGGGGGGCGGCGCUCUGGCUCCGGGGCUGUGCCCAGCGCGAGCGUGGCCGGCACCCACUUGCUGCAGAGCCGGCACUGCACUGGGGUUCUUGGGGGCGGCUCCUCCAGACGUCUCUGCGGGUUGUCGGGUGCUGCCGAGUUGGGUUGGGGGACGCUACAGGUAGUGGGUCCGGAGCAGCGGCUGGCCCCUCAUCUCACUGCCCUUCCUCGGACCCCACCGUCCUCUGGAAGCUUGUGCAGGGCACCUGCCACUGUGACCACCUGGACGCAGCUGCCGCAGUUCUGUGUAGACUGUUCUUUUCCAGCCCUUGGUGAAGAAAGUGGGUUGUUUUUUCCGUUUCCAUCUCUGGCUAGUCUUGAAGGCUAGACUUGCGUAGGAGAGCAGACACGAGGACAUGAGCCAGUUCUGCUGAGCUGUUACUGUAUACCUGCUUUCCCACAACAGCAAGGAAGAACCAUGGCCCAGGUGGGUCACUGUCAUUCGGGGACGUGGCUGUGGGCUUCACCCGGAAAGAGUGGCAGCAGCUGGACCUGGAGCAGAGGACCCUGUACCAGGAUGUGAUGCUGGAGAACUACAGCCACCUGCUCUCUGUGGGCUGAACUGUCUGCUUGCUUGGAAGGCCCAGCUGGCUCAGCACAAAUCCUUUAACCGUUUCUCCCCAAGAGGGUGUCAAGUCAGCAAACCAGCUGUGAUCUCCAGUUUGGAGCAGGGGAAGGAGCCAUGGAUGGAGGAGGAAGAGAUAAGGACGUGGAGCUUCCCAGGUAAAGCUGACUUCAUGAGACCGAGGAUCUCGUUCGUUGAUCGAUGCUACAUAUUCAGCAUGUUAGAUAAUGAGGUUGGUGAGAUUGAUGAAAUCCCGCCCACCAGGGCCGACCCACAAAGAGCCACUUUAUGAAGAACAUGCUCCUGAACUCCACUCCACAACCAGCUUUUGAAAAGAAAAAUCUGAAAAAAUUUGACCUCAGUUAAACUGGUCCAAAUGCCUGAGCAUAACCAAAAUCUUUCCUCAUUCACUCUUCACGUGGACCGUGUUUAAUUUGGUUGCUGGUGAUCAUAUUUGUUUUAGUAAAGGCUGUCACUCUAUCUUGGGC